GGUAAGUCGGGACCUAAGGUGAGGCCGAAAGGCGUAGCCGAUGGACAGCAGGUAGAAAUUCCUGCACUACCGAAAUACUUAAAAGAUGCAAGGGACACAGGAGUGGAAGGAAAGCGAGGAAGAGGAAAGACUCGUAUCGAAAGAUAUAGUGAAAAUUAAAGUAACGAAUUUCCAAGAAGCACACUGGCGAGAAAAGCUUGUAGAUAUUGUAUAGAGGUACCCGUACCGCAAACCGACACAGGUAGAUGAGGAGAGGAUCCUAAGAUGAGCGAGAGAAGCAUUGUUAAGGAACUCGGCAAACCAACCCCGUAACUUAGGGAGAAGGGGUGCCUAUGUAAAAAUAGGCCGCAGAGAAGAGGCCCAAGCAACUGUUUAACAAAAACACAGGUUUCUGCUAAAUCGAAAGAUGAAGUAUAGGAGCUGACGCCUGCCCAGUGCUGGAAGGUUAAGGGAAAAUGUAAGUACAGAAGUAUGAAGCAUAGAACCAAAGCCCCAGUGAACGGCGGCCGUAACUAUAACGGUCCUAAGGUAGCGAAAUUCCUUGUCAGGUAAGUUCUGACCCGCACGAAAGGCGUAAUGAUUUGGGCGCUGUCUCGACAAUGUACUCGGCGAAAUUGUAGUACUAGUGAAGAUGCUAGUUACCUGCGACAAGACAGAAAGACCCCAUGGAGCUUUACUGUAGCUUGAUACUGGGUUUCGAUAAUUUAUGUACAGGAUAGGUGGGAUGCAAAGAAGCAAGUGCGCCAGCAUUUGUGGAGCAGACGUUGGGAUACCACCCUUAAGUUAUUGGAAUUCUAACCUGUAGUCAUGAACUGGCUAGGGGACAAUGUCAGGCGGGCAGUUUGACUGGGGCGGUCGCCUCCAAAAGAGUAACGGAGGCGCGCAAAGGUUUCCUCAGCGCGGACAGAAAUCGCGCAAGAGAGUGCAAAGGCAGAAGGAAGCUUAACUGAGAGACUGACAAGUCGACCAGAUACGAAAGUAGGUCUUAGUGAUCCGGCGGUAGUGAGUGGAAAUGCCGUCGCUCAACGGACAAAAGUUACCCUGGGGAUAACAGGCUUAUCUCCCCCAAGAGUUCACAUCGACGGGGAGGUUUGGCACCUCGAUGUCGGCUCAUCACAUCCUGGAGCGGAAGUACGUUCCAAGGGUUGGGCUGUUCGCCCAUUAAAGUGGUACGCGAGCUGGGUUCAGAACGUCGUGAGACAGUUCGGUCCUUAUCUGUCGCAGGCGCAGGAUAUUUGAGGGGAGUUGACCUUAGUACGAGAGGACCAGGUUGAACUUACCAAUGGUGUAUCAGUUGUCAUACCAAUGGCACGGCUGAGUAGCUAAGUAGGGAAGGGAUAAACGCUGAAAGCAUCUAAGUGUGAAGCCCACCCCAAGAUAAGAUAUCCCAUACCGUAAGGUAGUAAGAUUCCACAAAGACUAUGUGGAGAUAGGUUGGAGGUGUAAGUGCAGUAAUGCAUGUAGCUGACCAAUACUAAUAAAUCGAGGGCUUAACCA
rnacentral:rRNA from 1 species